GCCUUAGCUGUACCCCCAGAGUGCGCGCCCGUCCGCAUGAAUGGACUGCCCUGAUUGUAAAUGUUUUGCUUCAUCAAAGGGCCAUUGCUCAGCAAAACCUUUAUUUUGCCUGCUGACCUUGCUGGUCAGGCUGCAUCCCUCAAGAUGCUCUUGAUUGUUGCAGUUCAAAUUUAUUGUAUUGAUUCCAAUUUAAGUGAUGUUUAAGGGCUCUGUUGUGCCCCCAUGUUUUUCCUGAGUUGGUUCACCUGUGGGUUUUACCCUCCCUCCAAACUGUCCCUCGUGCCCUUCCCCACCCCUUGUUCCAGCUCUUUCCCUGCCUGUCAAGGCAACCCAGCCCCUUGGUUCCUGAACCUUUGGGCCAAUCCCUGACUGCAACACCCCUUUGGAAUUCCCCUACCCCUGGAAGCCCCAUUGGCCCUUGUGACCCAUCCUCUCCACCCUCCUACCCCAAUUGGCCCCAGACACUUGAUGUAAUCCCCUCACUCCUCUCCUGAGGAUUCCCUAUUGGUUCAUUGUUUGCAUCCUCCCCAUGACUUGUAUGUGUACAAAACCCCUUGGGCAGUACAGCUAGGGGCUUCUCAUCCUGUUCUCUUCACCUGGACUAAGGUGUUCCUUGCGGAACCUGAAGACAAGGAUCCUCCUCCUUUCUCCUGUGCCUCGUCCCUGUCGUGGCUUGUGUCUGGCACUGGAGAGCAAGUGGCACUAAAGGUUCUGCCUCUGGUAAAUCCCCAUAGCGAGGCAGUUCCCGACUCCUGCCAUAGUGCCGGAGUUCUAAGAGCUAGCCCAGGUUCCAGCACUCACUUCACUAAUGUACCGAAUGCCCCUUCUUCAGAGCCUGCUCUGGUGCUCUGCCAUCUCACACAGCAGAGUGUGAUUCACAUACUGCAGCCCAGAGUUAGGUUGUUGCAACAUUGAAAUGGGUGUGGUUGGCAGGAUGGCUGGGCAUAAAUCACUACAGAACUAAAGCAAAUGUGUGCACUGUCCCAGGCUGGACUUGAAUAGACACAGGAAUUGUGGAAAGAUGAGGACAAGAUAGCAGAGAACAAUGGAAAAACCAGCUAUAAAGAAAAUGAGGACAUGCUAAAGGAGUUAUUUGUGCACAUUUGGGGGUAUAUUUUCUUGGGUGCAAAGUAAAACCAAAAGCUUCUAAAUGCCGAAAUGGGGAGAACUGUGUAUGGUAAAUAGGUAUGAUUCAUGAUGACAAAAUUGAAAGAGUAAUCAAUACUGAUACAGUAAUAUUUGGAAAUAAUAAAAAAGUUAAAGUUGUUCCCCCCUCUCCCACCCACUUCUCCUGCAGAUGUUCAGAACAGGAGGAAGCAAGAGAUAACUAUGACUAAAUUUAGUUGGAAUAGAGGAGAAUUUGGUUGGACACCAGGGAAAUGUUGAUUAUAUGAGAUCCACUGCUUUAAUGUUAGAACACAAUAUUGGCUUAUACAGUACCAGCUGGGUGCGCAUGUGUAAUCCAAAAGGUGAACUACAGGACAUGGAGGAAGAGGAGAGGCCUUCCUCAAAGAAGAUCCCCAAAGAGUGGUACAAUGUGGAAGGGGCUAACAGCGGGCCUGUUAGCUAAAGGAGCAAGAAGAAGCUGAGAAGAAAGAAGAAGCUGAUAAGGACCUCUCUCCAAGGCUGUAACCAAGGAGACCAAGAGAAUUGAGGGACUGAAGAAAGAUAAGAACUUCGCAGCUGCAUGAAGUAUAUUUAGAAAGUUAGUUAAGUCACUGUAACUUUUCACCAAUGGUGUUAUGUUGAUUUAUUGUAUCCAAUAGUUAGGGUAGAAGAAGCAUAAACAAUUAAAAAGUGUAUAAAAGGUCAGCCAUGUUCAAUAAUAAAGUGUUGCCAUCUGAAACUGCUUGUGAUCCCUGCUUUGUGUCGUGACCGCCUCGACAACGACAUUUGGUGAUCCCUGACGUGAUACAAGACCCUUAACGAGAUACUCGGGAUCCUAGCAAUUGGCAACCGUGACCCACUGGGACGUAGUGGGGGAGGCGGCGUUGGUGUAGCUGAGAGUGGCCGGUGAAAGCCACAGGGAGGUCCGGACCUGAUUUUCUCCUAUCAAGACACCUGGAAUUAGUUUUUAAAGCAGCUCCUGGAACAAGGCAGGAUGACAGUCAUCAUGUCUUUGCCUAGAGUUGUACAAGAUCUCCAGUCGAAGGUAGCUCAAUAUAGUAUUAAUUCCUCUGAGGUAAUGUAAUUAAUACGUGUAAUCAAUAGAUACCUCUGUUGGUGUCCAAUUGUUUAUUUUGAGAGACCAUGAAAUACCAUGUGGAAUACUGUGUCAAUGGAGUGAUAAUUGGGAAGAUCAACUGCAUAUUUUGGAAUGGAUAUUUUUGUCUUUCAGAUCUCGGAAAACAGCUCCAGGACUUUAUGAGCUUUUUGCAGAUAUUAUCAUCAAGGGCCGCAGGCGUUGUCAUGAAAUUUUGGGACACGACCCUGUGACCAUUGUGAUACCUGUGCAACAGUGGUAUUUUGAAUGGUGCUUUCAAAAUAAUCAUGAAUUGCAGUCUGCCUUGUCUUCUUUUACAGGCCAAAUAAAAUACCAUUUACCUUCUCAUCCAAUUUUAAAACUGACCAAGGAGAUUCCUUUUGAAGGAAAACAAAUUUGUUCUCCUGUUCCAGUGGAAGGUGUAACGGUUUUUACGGAUGGAUCCGGGAAAACCGGAAAAGCAGCUGUAGCUUGGAAAAAGGAUGACCACUGGGAAUAUGAGACAAUGAUUCAGCAGGGAUCUCCUCAAUUGGUUGAACUCUGUGCUGUUCUUUUGGCUUUCACUUUAUUUCCUGAUUCUCUAAAUAUAGUCACUGAUUCUAUCUAUGUUGCCAAUUUGGUUAAGCAGUUAGAUCAAGCAGUGUUGUAUAAUAUCCAAGAGAAACCAUUGUUUACCAUGUUAAUGAAGUUAUGGACAGUCAUUGGUGCUCGAAAACAUCCUUACUUUAUCAUGCAUGUUCGCAGCCACACAUCGUUACCAGGAUUUUUUGUUGAAGGCAAUGCCUAUGUAGAUUCUCUAGUAGCUGCUGCUGCAAUCAAAACCAUACCUAAUGUGUUGCAGCAGGCAAUUUUGUCUCAUCAAUUUUUUCAUCAAAGUGCUCGAGCUUUACAGCAGCAAUUUAAAUUGUCUCCUGGUGAAGCGAGAUCAAUUCUUUCUUCCUGUCCUGACUGUCACAUGACUCAUGUCACUCAGUAUUAUGGUACCAACCCUAGAGGUCUUUCCGCUUUAGAGGAAUGGCAGACGGAUGUUACGAAAAUGCCAGAAUUUGGUCGCUUUAAGUAUGUCCAUGUUACGGUUGAUACCUUUUCUCAUGCAAUGAUUGCUUCAGCAUUCACAGGAGAAAAAACUCGUGAUGCUAUUCGUCAUUUUUAUCACGCUUUUUCUUUUCUAGGUGUUCCGUGUCACAUAAAAACAGAUAAUGGCCCAGCAUAUGUUUCACAAAAAAUGCAAGCAUUCUUUCGUGCUUGGGGCAUUGAACAUUCAACAGGUAUUCCACAUGUCCGCACAGGCCAAGCAAUUAUUGAAAGAGCUCACGGUCUUCUUAAACGUCAGGUUCAAAAACAAAAAGGGGGAAUGCAACAGGAAUCACCUCAAGUGAGAUUAGAUAAAGCUGUUUAUGUGUUAAACUUCUUGCGUCCCCUACCUGACUCACAGUUAUCUCCAAUUUUUUACCAUUUUUCUUCUUUGAAUGCUAGGCAACCAGAUCUCCGUAGAAAUGUUAAGGUAUGGGUCAAGGAUUUAAUUACUGGCAUGUGGUCUGGCCCAGUGGAAUUAAUAACCUGGGGAAGAGGUUAUGCUUGUGUUUUAACAGAUAAUGGUCCUCGAUGGGUUCCUGCUCGCUGUGUCAAACCUUAUCUGGAGCGAGCAGGCAGGGACAAGACGGAUGGCUCCGCAGCUGAAGCAGAACGUGCGGAUGACACUGGCUAAGGCUAUAUCUAGAUAUAAGUCAGGAUAUGCAUUUCAUUGCUCUUCAUGUGCUUUCAUAGUAAUUAAAGGGUGUAGUUUUGGUUUAGGCUGACCGAGACAAUGCAGGUUUUUGGAACCUUUUUUCUAGUAUUCCUGCAGCUCCUUUUGAGCACUUUGGGGUGGUUAUAGUUCACGGCUUUAUGGGAUAAAGUAGUUAGGAAAUUUUAAAGCACCUAUAGAUGGAUGAAAGACAGGAAUGAUUGUAUUAAGAAUGGGAAUGUUGAUUUUGUUGAUGGUUGUGAUUGUUGUUUUGUGUUUCCCCUCUCUGCUUGGAUUUUUGCAAAGGGCCCUGCAAAAAUCCAUAGCAGCUGUGUUUAAAAACAAAAAGGGGGAAUUGUGGAAGGGGCUAACAGCGGGCCUGUUAGCUAAAGGAGCAAGAAGAAGCUGAGAAGAAAGAAGAAGCUGAUAAGGACCUCUCUCCAAGGCUGUAACCAAGGAGACCAAGAGAAUUGAGGGACUGAAGAAAGAUAAGAACUUCGCAGCUGCAUGAAGUAUAUUUAGAAAGUUAGUUAAGUCACUGUAACUUUUCACCAAUGGUGUUAUGUUGAUUUAUUGUAUCCAAUAGUUAGGGUAGAAGAAGCAUAAACAAUUAAAAAGUGUAUAAAAGGUCAGCCAUGUUCAAUAAUAAAGUGUUGCCAUCUGAAA